CUAAUACCGCAUACGCCCCUUCGGGGGAAAGAUUUAUCGCUAAGAGAUGGACCCGCGUUGGAUUAGCUAGUUGGCGAGGUAACGGCUCACCAAGGCAUCGAUCCAUAGCUGGUUUGAGAGGAUGAUCAGCCACACUGGGACUGAGACACGGCCCAGACUCCUACGGGAGGCAGCAGUGGGGAAUAUCGGACAAUGGGGGCAACCCUGAUCCAGCCAUGCCGCGUGAGUGAAGAAGGCCUUCGGGUUGUAAAGCUCUUUCAGAUGCGAAGAUGAUGACGGUAACAUCAGAAGAAGCCCCGGCUAAUUUCGUG
rnacentral:rRNA from 1 species